AAGAAGAGUGAUCACACUGAGCAUGCACCGAUUCAAGAAAAGACUCAAAACAAAAGAGAAAGAAAAACUAAUGCAGUUGAUGGUCCUGUCUACGUCAAUAUUGAACCAUCUGCAAGAAAUUCAACCAAAAAGCAUGAUUUAAGUGAAACCGAGUUCGGUGACGAAGUGCCAGUCGUAAACAGCGGUGACAUAGCAACAGACGUGGAUGAAGGCGAGCCUGAACACCAACAGACUGACGAGGAGGAGGAGGUCCAGGAUCCUAACACGUACUACAAUGCUGAUCAACCAGCUCCUCCUCCGUUCAAUCUGCCAGAAGAAGGUUUUGACGUCGCAGAACUUGAAGGUAUCAUAGAGAGCAUCAGGAAUCAACCUGGGGGAUUUGAUGCAGAAUACCUUAAACUACCAAGUGGAUUCAAACAUCCGUACACCGAUUCACAGAUUCCAGAUAACAGGUGCAAAAACCGAUUUGCUGGUUACUAUCCAUAUAACAAUAAUCGUGUGAAGCUAUCUCUGCUGCCAAACAUUCCACACUCUGACUACAUCAACGCCAGUUACGUAGAUGUAAGUGUUGACAAUAAUAUUACUAUAACAG